rnacentral:rRNA from 1 species
AACGAACGCUGGCGGCAGGCCUAACACAUGCAAGUCGAGCGCCCCAGCGAUGGGGAGCGGCGGACGGGUGAGUAACGCGUGGGAACGUGCCUCUUGCUACGGAAUAGCCUCGGGAAACUGGGAGUAAUACCGUAUGUGCCCUACGGGGGAAAGAUUUAUCGGCAAGAGAUCGGCCCGCGUUGGAUUAGGUAGUUGGUGGGGUAAUGGCCUACCAAGCCGACGAUCCAUAGCUGGUUUGAGAGGAUGAUCAGCCACACUGGGACUGAGACACGGCCCAGACUCCUACGGGAGGCAGCAGUGGGAAUCUUAGACAAUGGGCGCAAGCCUGAUCUAGCCAUGCCGCGUGAGCGAUGAAGGCCUUAGGGUUGUAAAGCUCUUUCAGUGGGGAAGAUAAUGACUGUACCCACAGAAGAAGCCCCGGCUAACUCCGUG